rnacentral:tRNA from 1 species
CGGGCUGUGGCGCAGCUCGGUAGCGCACGUGCUCGAAGGGGAGCCGUGGUCGUAGGUUCAAAUCCUGCCAGCCCGA